rnacentral:rRNA from 1 species
AUUGAACGCUGGCGGCAGGCCUAACACAUGCAAGUCGAGCGGAGUGGCGAACGGGUGAGUAACACGUGGGUGACCUGCCCUGCACUUCGGGAUAAGCCUGGGAAACUGGGUCUAAUACCGGAUAGUGUGGGAUGGGCCCGCGGCCUAUCAGCGUGUUGGUGGGGGAAUGGGCUACCAAGGCGGCGACGGGUAGCCGGCCUGAGAGGGUGGACGGGCACAUUGGGACUGGGACACGGCCCAAACUCCUACGGGAGGCAGCAGUGGGGAAUAUUGCACAAUGGGCGGAAGCCUGAUGCAGCGACGCCGCGUGGGGGGUGACGGCCUUCGGGUUGUAAGCUCCUUUCACCAUCGACGCGGUAGAUGGAGGAGAAGCACCGGCUAACUACGUGCCAGCAGCCGCGGUAAUAC